AUUGAACGCUGGCGGCAGGCCUAACACAUGCAAGUCGAACGGUAACAGGAAGCAGCUUGCUGCUUUGCUGACGAGUGGCGGACGGGUGAGUAAUGUCUGGGAAACUGCCUGAUGGAGGGGGAUAACUACUGGAAACGGUAGCUAAUACCGCAUAACGUCGCAAGACCAAAGAGGGGGACCUUCGGGCCUCUUGCCAUCGGAUGUGCCCAGAUGGGAUUAGCUAGUAGGUGGGGUAACGGCUCACCUAGGCGACGAUCCCUAGCUGGUCUGAGAGGAUUACCAGCCACACUGGAACUGAGACACGGUCCAGACUCCUACGGGAGGCAGCAGUGGGGAAUAUUGCACAAUGGGCGCAAGCCUGAUGCAGCCAUGCCGCGUGUAUGAAGAAGGCCCUCGGGUUGUAAAGUACUUUCAGCGGGGAGGAAGGGAGUAAAGUUAAUACCUUUGCUCAUUGACGUUACCCGCAGAAGAAGCACCGGCUAACUCCGUG
rnacentral:rRNA from 1 species